AGGAUCCAAUAGGAUUUUCUGGAUAGGAUCCAAUAGGAUUUUCUCCCUUUGUCUAUAGGAACCACCCUUUAACUUAAAAGGGUGGUUCCUAUAGACAAAGGGAGAAAAU
rnacentral:scRNA from 1 species